rnacentral:rRNA from 1 species
AACGAACGCUGGCGGCAUGCCUAACACAUGCAAGUCGAACGCUCGGGCUUUCGGGUCCGGGAGUGGCGCACGGGUGAGUAACGCGUGGGAACCUGCCCCGGGGUGGGGGAUAACCGGUGGAAACGCCGGCUAAGACCGCAUACGUCCUUUGGGAGAAAGACUUGUCGCCCUGGGAGGGGCCCGCGUCGGAUUAGCUGGUUGGCGGGGUAACGGCCCACCAAGGCGUCGAUCCGUAGCUGGUCUGAGAGGAUGAUCAGCCACACUGGGACUGAGACACGGCCCAGACUCCUACGGGAGGCAGCAGUGGGGAGUAUUGGACAAUGGGGGCAACCCUGAUCCAGCAAUGCCGCGUGAGU